rnacentral:rRNA from 1 species
GACGAACGCUGGCGGCGUGCUUAACACAUGCAAGUCGAACGGAAAGGCCCUGCUUUUGUGGGGUGCUCGAGUGGCGAACGGGUGAGUAACACGUGAGUAACCUGCCCUUGACUUUGGGAUAACUUCAGGAAACUGGGGCUAAUACCGGAUAGGAGCUCCUGCUGCAUGGUGGGGGUUGGAAAGUUUCGGCGGUUGGGGAUGGACUCGCGGCUUAUCAGCUUGUUGGUGGGGUAGUGGCUUACCAAGGCUUUGACGGGUAGCCGGCCAGAGAGGGUGACCGGCCACAUUGGGACUGGGAUACGGCCCAGACUCCUACGGGAGGCAGCAGUGGGGAAUAUUGCACGAUGGGCGGAAGCCUGAUGCAGCAACGCCGCGUGCGGGAUGACGGCCUUCGGGUUGUAAACCGCUUUCGCCUGUGACGAAGCGUGAGUGACGGUAAUGGGUAAAGAAGCACCGGCUAACUACGUG